rnacentral:rRNA from 1 species
GUGGGGAAUCUUCCGCAAUGGACGAAAGUCUGACGGAGCGACGCCGCGUGAGUGAUGAAGGCCUUCGGGUCGUAAAGCUCUGUCAUCGGGGACGAACGGCCUCAGCAGGUAAUGGCUGGGGAUUGACGGUACCCGAGAAGGAAGCCACGGCUAACUACGUGCCAGCAGCCGCGGUAAUACGUAGGUGGCAAGCGUUUUCCGGAAUUAUUGGGCGUAAAGCGCGCGCAGGUGGGAUCUUAAGUCCAUUUUGAAAGUUCGGAGCUCAACUCCGUGAUGGGAUGGAAACUGGGAUUCUUGAGUACCGGAGAGGAAAGCGGAAUUCCCCGUGUAGCGGUGAAAUGCGUAGAUAUGGGGAGGAACACCAGUGGCGAAGGCGGCUUUCUGGACGGUGUCUGACACUGAGGCGCGAAAGCCAGGGGAGCGAACGGGAUUAGAAACCCCUGUAGUCC